ensembl:snRNA U4 U4 spliceosomal RNA
AGCUUUGUGCAGUGGCAGUAUAGUAGCCAAUGAGGUUUAUCCGAGGUGCGAUUAUUGCUAAUUGAAAAUACAACUUUGUUUCUGUUUUGGUAGGGCUUUACCUGUUUCUUUUACAUUCUAAUGUGGUUACUAGAAAAUUUAAAGUUGCAUGUGCAG